rnacentral:rRNA from 1 species
AACCUGGUUGAUCCUGCCAGUAGUCAUAUGCGUUGUCUCAAAGAUUAAGCCAUGCAUGUCUCAGUAUAAGCUUCUAUAUGGCGAAACUGCGAAUGGCUCAUUAAAACAGUUAUAGUUUAUUUGGUGGUCAACUUCUACAUGGAUAACCGUGGUAAUUCUAGAGCUAAUACAUGCGCCCAAACCCAACUUCUUGGAAGGGUUGUGUUUAUUAGAUACAGAACCAACCCAGGCUCCGCCUGGCCUUGAGGUGAUUCAUAAUAACCGAACGAAUCGCAUGGCUCCGCCGGCGAUAGACCAUUCAAGUUUCUGACCUAUCAGCUAUCGUCGGUAGGGUAUUGGCCUACCGUGGCAAUGACGGGUAACGGAGAAUUAGGGUUCGAUUCCGGAGAGGGAGCCUGAGAAACGGCUACCACAUCUAAGGAAGGCAGCAGGCGCGCAAAUUACCCAAUCCUGACGCAGGGAGGUAGUGACAAGAAAUAACAGUACAGGGCAUAUCUGUCUUGUAAUUGGAAUGAGUAAACUUUAAAUCCCUUUACGAGUAUCAAUUGGAGGGCAAGUCUGGUGCCAGCAGCCGCGGUAAUUCCAGCUCCAAUAGC